rnacentral:rRNA from 1 species
GACGAACGCUGGCGGCGUGCCUAACACAUGCAAGUCGAGCGGAGAUGUACGGAAGGUUUACCGGAAGUACAUCUUAGCGGCGGACGGGUGAGUAACGCGUGGGCAACCUGCCUUUUACUGGGGGAUAACACAGGGAAACUUGUGCUAAUACCGCAUGAUAUCACAUGGGGCAUCCUGUGUGAUCAAAGGAGCAAUCCGGUAAAAAGAUGGGCCCGCGUCCGAUUAGCUAGUUGGUGAGGUAACGGCUCACCAAGGCGACGAUCGGUAGCCGGACUGAGAGGAUGGUCGGCCACACUGGGACUGAGACACGGCCCAGACUCCUACGGGAGGCAGCAGUUGGGAAUCUUGGGCAAUGGGCGAAAGCCUGACCCAGCGACGCCGCGUGGAGGAAGAAGUCCUUGGGCGUAAACUCCUGGACUGGGGACGAGGAAGGACGGUACCCACGUAGAAAGGGACGGCUAACUACGUGCCAGCAGCCGCGGUAAGGCUACGUAGA